AUUGAACGCUGGCGGCAUGCCUUACACAUGCAAGUCGAACGGCAGCACGGGUGCUUGCACCUGGUGGCGAGUGGCGAACGGGUGAGUAAUACAUCGGAACAUGUCCUGUAGUGGGGGAUAGCCCGGCGAAAGCCGGAUUAAUACCGCAUACGAUCUACGGAUGAAAGCGGGGGACCUUCGGGCCUCGCGCUAUAGGGUUGGCCGAUGUCUGAUUAGCUAGUUGGUGGGGUAAAGGCCUACCAAGGCGACGAUCAGUAGCUGGUCUGAGAGGACGACCAGCCACACUGGGACUGAGACACGGCCCAGACUCCUACGGGAGGCAGCAGUGGGGAAUUUUGGACAAUGGGCGAAAGCAUGAUCCAGCAAUGCCGCGUGUGUGAAGAAGGCCUUCGGGUUGUAAAGCACUUUUGUCCGGAAAGAAAUCCUUGGCCCUAAUACGGUCGGGGGAUGACGGUACCGGAAGAAUAAGCACCGGCUAACUACGUG
rnacentral:rRNA from 1 species